rnacentral:rRNA from 1 species
GAGGCAGCAGGGGGGAAUAUUGGACGAUGGGCGCAAGCCUGAUGCAGCCAUGCCGCGUGUAUGAAGAAGGCCUUCGGGUUGUAAAGUACUUUCAGCGGGGAUGAAGGGAGUAAAGUUAAUACCUCUGCUCAUUGACGUUACCCGCAGAAGAAGCACCGGCUAACUCCGUGCCAGCAGCCGCGGUAAUACGGAGGGUGCAAGCGUUAAUCGGAAUUACUGGGCGUAAAGCGCACGCAGGCGGUUUGUUAAGUCAGAUGUGAAAUCCCCGGGCUCAACCUGGGAACUGCAUCUGAUACUGGCAAGCUUGAGUCUCGUAGAGGGGGGUAGAAUUCCAGGUGUAGCGGUGAAAUGCGUAGAGAUCUGGAGGAAUACCGGUGGCGAAGGCGGCCCCCUGGACGAAGACUGACGCUCAGGUGCGAAAGCGUGGGGGGCAAACAGGAUUAGAUACCCUGGUAGUCCACGCCGUAAACGAUGUCGACUUGGAGGUUGUGCCCUCGAGGCGUGGCUUCCGGAGCUAACGCGUUAAGUCGACCGCCUGGGGAGUACGGCCGCAAG